GAAGUUACAGCUCAGCAGUAGAGUGUGUGCUUACCAUGCUUAAGGUCCUAGGUUCAAUCCCCAGUACCUCCA
rnacentral:tRNA from 1 species